CCCGCUGAACUUAAGCAUAUCAAUAAGCGGAGGAAAAGAAACCAACAGGGAUUACCUCAGUAACGGCGAGUGAAGCGGUAACAGCUCAAAUUUGAAAUCUGGCCUCACGGUCCGAGUUGUAAUUUGUAGAGGAUGCUUCGAGCAUGGUCUGGCCUAAGUUCCUUGGAACAGGACGUCAUAGAGGGUGAGAAUCCCGUAUGCGGUCAGGUGCCUACGCUCAUGUGAAGCUCCUUCGACGAGUCGAGUUGUUUGGGAAUGCAGCUCAAAAUGGGUGGUAAAUUUCAUCUAAAGCUAAAUAUUGGCCAGAGACCGAUAGCGCACAAGUAGAGUGAUCGAAAGAUGAAAAGCACUUUGGAAAGAGAGUUAAACAGUACGUGAAAUUGUUGAAAGGGAAGCGCUUGCAACCAGACUUGCGCGCGGCCGAUCAUCCGGUGUUCUCACCGGUGCACUCGGCCGUGCUCAGGCCAGCAUCGGUUUUGGCGGCUGGAUAAAGGCCCCAGGAAUGUGGCUCCUCUCGGGGAGUGUUAUAGCCUGGGGUGCAAUGCAGCCUGCUGGGACCGAGGACCGCGCUUCGGCUAGGAUGCUGGCGUAAUGGUUGUAAGCGGCCCGUCUUGAAACACGG
rnacentral:rRNA from 1 species